rnacentral:rRNA from 1 species
GGGUAAGUAGGUUGGUCGUGCCACCGGUACGUAUUGGUCUCACUGAUUCCUCCUUCCUGAAGAACCGUAAUGCCACUAAUUUGGUGUUGCGGGGAAACAGGACUGUUACUUUGAAAAAAUUAGAGUGUUUAAAGCAAGCUAACGCUUGAAUACAUUAGCAUGGAAUAAUGAAAUAGGACGAUCGAUCCUAUUUUGUUGGUUUCUAGGAUUGACGUA